UUGACACGCGCCCAUCCCCCCACAUCUCACGGUCGCAGUCAGUUUCACAGAGCAGCGCAGGAGGACGACAGACACUUAAAGAACAUUAACAGUUUAGUUUGAAUCUCUCUCAGUCAGUCAGGGGGAGAUUAAGGCUUCGUUCAUACUGCAGGGCUUAAUGCUCAAUUCCGAUUUUUUGAAAAAAUUAGAUUUUUUUGCAAGGCCGUUCACAUUUCCAAUAAAAUGCGACCUUUUGUGAUCUCCUGUGUGAACGUGAAAUGACCCAGAAGUGACCCGCAUGCGCAUAAGAGUACUCCACGGUCAAGGACAUCACUUGUAAGCUAACGUUAAACAUGGAUGUCAACAACGGUGUAGUCAACAGUGGAGCUCUUUUUGCAAUAUUAAAGUUAUUUUCCCAACGGAGCCAGCACAAUUACAAUCUUCUGUUUUUUUAUGUAAAAUGUAAGGUAACAUUUGUUUAAUUAUUCCUCAUAUCAUUUUAAAGCCACGAUCUACAGAACAUCACACAAAAAACAUUUUGAUAACUACACCUAAAAAAAAUAAAGGAGAUCCUGCCUUGGAAACUCCGGCUACAAUUCAGUGUUUUUAUAUAAUUUGGAGAUUUAGCGCGUCAAAGCAGUCAUGACAAAAAAAACGACAAAUGAGAAAUGACAAAUAAUUUGUGUUUGUUACUGUAAAUGAUAAAAACUAAGCUUUAUAUACAAUUCAUUAAACGUUAAUUUAUAACAAGAAAAACACUGAAAUUAAUGAUUUUAUAGACACUACGCGUUAUUAUUUAGCAUAGAAAUACCUGCUUCCUUGCUUUGACUUUGAUCAUCUCUGUAUUCACUUUAGAUACAGAAAGACCUGAUGAAAUUAUUUAUUUCAGGAAUCUCUUUGCUAUCAUUUGAAAGUGAACACACGAAGACAGUCGUGUCAGGCAUAAAUAUAGGUUUGGUGCAGAUAUUUUCCGUUUCAGCACCGAAAUUUAAAGAAACGGCUUACCUGUUUUGUAGUUUAACUUUUGACAAAAUAACCAGUUUGUUUUAAAUACAUUUUAAAAACUUAUACCCGUCGAAAAACAUCCGUUUUUUAAUGUUUAGUUUGAUGAACUCCUAAAUAUGAGACGAAGAGCACCUAGCCUGUUCGGCUAAAUUGCAUGCGCAAGCAUGGCCAGCACGCAAUAGCGCAACAUCGAUACAACGAAACGCAAUCCAAAAUUUACAGACUUAAAUUAGAUCAGAAUUUACGUUUAUCAUAAAUACAAUUUUUUUUUAUAAAAUAAGGUCAGAAGUAACAAAGUGCAGAACAAAUGUGCAAAAUGCCUCAAGUGCACGGAAACAAAACACAAGCCAAAUAGAUAAAUCAGAUAACCCAGAGUGAUUUAUAAAUAAAAUAAAGAAAUUAUUAAAAGAACGAAAGUAUAGCCAGAAUUGCCAGCUUUGUCUUUUAAAUGUGGAAACAAAGAGGCAAUGGUUUAUAAACAUAGAAACCUCUUAUGGACGUGUCGACCGGUCACAGGGGUUGUUGGAUUUAUAAACGCAUUUUAAAAAUAUUUAUUGAAAGCUGCUACUUAUAUUAUUCGCAGCAUUAUAAUAAUAUGCUAUAUAUUAAUAUAUUUGGAGAACGCUGUUAUAUGUGAAAUCAUAUAACGUGUGCACCCAUACGGCCAAAAUUUAAUGAUGUGGAGCAGUGUCGCCCAUGGUUGUUGUUUAUCUUAUCGUUCUUGCCUACUUCAAUGCAGAAUUAUGACGUUUGUAGCGUAUCAGUGACGUACGGGUCGGAUCCAUGUGGCCUGGCCGUUCAGACGAAGGUCGCAUUUCAAAAGAUCGGAUACGUAUCGGAUUCAGGACCACAUACCCAAGUGGCCUGGGUCACAUUUGAAAAGAUCGGAUCUGUGUCGUUCAGACUGUCAUGAAAAGAUCAGAUACAGGUCGCAUAGGGGCAAAAAAAUCGGAAUUGGGUCGUUUCAGACUGUAGUAUGAACGUAGCCUAACUGACAGACUGUAUAACGUUACACGUCUUACCAAGAAACCUUUUAAAGUUUAGCACAAAUGUUUCUCGUGGAAGUUUGAAUCUCUCUCAGUCAGGGGGGAGAUUGACUGACAGACGGUCUACUUGCCACCAGACAGUAAUUUACCCUGAUACCUUUUUAAGUUUAGCACAAAUGUUUCCCGUGGAAGUUUGAAUCUCUCUCAGUCAGGGGGGAGAUUGACUGACAGACGGUCUACUUGCCACCAAACAGUAAUUUACCCUGAAACCUUUUUAAGUAAGGACUAACGUAAACUGACUCUCUGUCUGCUCUCAACCAAACAGUCAUUUAAGACCUUCUAAAGCUUAGCGCAAACGUUUCCUGCGCAAGUUUGAAUCUCUCAGUCAAGGGGGAGAUUGACUGACUGACUGACUGUCUACUCGCCACCAAACGUCAAAAGUCAGUUACACAGAAUCCUUUUAAAGUUUAGCACAAACGUUUCCCGCGCAAGUUUGGAUCUUUACCAUUGAGGGUGGCUGACUGUUCUCGACCAACCAUCAUUCACACGCAAAAACUUUAAAGAUAAGUAUGAACGUGCCCAGAGCAGUUUUCGAUCUUUACCAUUAAGGAGGCUGACUGACUAUCGUCUACCACCCGUCAUUAACACAAUAAAAACUAAAGAAAUGUUACUCCAUAUGGACCUAUUCAUUUACUCAUUAUGCUGUGAGUACACCACAGUUUUAUCAGGGAAAAAAUUUAUAUUUGUGUGUUUCUCACUGCUUGGCAAGGACAGAUGUGGCCCUGUUAAAAAUGUUUAAAUGUUGUUUGGUUUAAGGAACAGCACACUGAUUUUGUUUUAAAAUAUUCCUGUUUGGACAGUCUGUUAAAGCCAUAAAGGAAUACUUGAUAUAUUUCAUAAGUAAAGUGUAAAUGUAAUAUUAGUUUUUAAUGUUGUGAAUUUGGACUGAACAGCACACUUCUGUUUUAUAUCUAAACCUUUUGUAAAAUAAAUGAUUGUUCAAUAAACUGUGUAUUUUA